rnacentral:lncRNA from 1 species
GAGGUUCUAAGAGCCCACUCUCUGCCAUUUGCUUGAUAUUGUGAGGGAACUUCUCUAGAUUUUUUAAGAUUUGGUCUGCUGUUUCAGACGCAAAGGCAUCCGACUCUUCGUUGUACUUUGAGGUAACUAGCAUCAAUAUUGCCCCUGUAGCAUUCCCAAUCUUCUUACAUGCAUGUUGAGAUUUCGAAAGCUCAAGCAGUAAGGCUAGUGCUGCAUGUCUUACAGUCUGGUGACUGCUUCCCAAAAAUUUGAUCACGCAUGACAUAGCUAACGUAUUCACAAUCAUUUCCUGUAAGAUAACUUUGAGAUAUAAAAAAAAACAUUGAAACAGGAACUAGCUGUGUCUAAAAUGCAACUUUAAGUAGUGUAAAUGAAAGAGGUCGAACCUUUCCUUCAUCAGUGUCUUCAUCUGCUAGUGUCUUUAACAAUUGUAGCAGUUCAUACCUCACAUCUUUACUUCUGUACGAUAGGUAUCUGUCAAGCAACUGAAUGAUCCCAGCUUCACGGACUUUUAACUUGUUGUACUCUUUCCCUUCACAGGUCAUUUGCAGAUCCCUUAAUGCAUCGAUAACCAUGCUUUCUGAACCGCCUAAGGAUAAAGCUGCGUGAGCCACCUUGAUUCUUGCUG